rnacentral:misc_RNA from 1 species
GAUGAAGAACGUAGCGAAAUGCGAUAAGUAAUGCGAAUUGCAGAAUUCAGUGAGUCAUCGAAUCUUUGAACGCACAUUGCGCCCUGUGGUAUUCCGCAGGGCAUGCCUGUUCGAGCGUCAUUUCAACCCUCAAGCCUCGCUUGGUGUUGGGCCCUGCCCGCCGCGGCCGGCCCUAAAGAUAGUGGCGGCGCCGCCUGGCCCUCAGCGUAGUACAGCUCUCGCUCCAGGGUCCGGCGGCAGCCUGCCAGAACCCCCCAACUCUGUGGUUGACCUCGGAUCAGGUAGGGAUACCCGCUGAACUUAAGAAUAUCAAUAAGCGGAGGA